rnacentral:rRNA from 1 species
UUGAACGCUGGCGGAAUGCUUUACACAUGCAAGUCGAGCGGCAGCGCGGGGCAACCUGGCGGCGAGCGGCGAACGGGUGAGUAACAUAUCGGAACGUAUCCUAUCGUGGGGGAUAACUAGUCGAAAGACUAGCUAAUACCGCAUACGUCCUGAGGGAGAAAGCGGGGGCUCGCAAGACCUCGCGCGAUUGGAGUGGCCGAUAUCUGAUUAGCUAGAUGGUGGGGUAAAGGCUCACCAUGGCGACGAUCAGUAGCUGGUCUGAGAGGAUGAUCAGCCACACUGGGACUGAGACACGGCCCAGACUCCUACGGGAGGCAGCAGUGGGGAAUUUUGGACAAUGGGCGCAAGCCUGAUCCAGCCAUUCCGCGUGAGUGAAGAAGGCCUUCGGGUUGUAAAGCUCUUUCGGCAGGAACGAAACGGUGGGAUCUAAUACAUACCACUAAUGACGGUACCUGAAGAAGAAGCACCGGCUAACUACGU